rnacentral:rRNA from 1 species
AGCAGCCGCGGUAAUUCCAGCUCCAAUAGCGUAUAUUAAAGUUGUUGCAGUUAAAAAGCUCGUAGUUGAAUUUCGGGAUUCUACCGUCGGUCGGGCUAACAAGUCUGUACUGGUGUGUAGAAUUUCUACCUUCUGGGGAACUAUCAUGUUAUUAAUUUAGCGUGGUAGGAAACCAGGACCUUUACCUUGAAAAAAUUAGAGUGUUCAAAGCAGGCUUACGUCUGAAUACAUUAGCAUGGAAUAAUAGAAUAGGACGGUGGUCCUGUUUUGUUGGUUUCUGAAUCACCGUAAUGAUUAAUAGGGAUAGUUGGGGGCAUUAGUAUUCAAUUGUCAGAGGUGAAAUUCUUGGAUUUAUUGAAGACUAACUUCUGCGAAAGCAUUUGCCAAGGAUGUUUUCAUUAAUCAAGAACGAAAGUUAGGGGAUCGAAGACGAUCAGAUACCGUCGUAGUCUUAACCAUAAACUAUGCCGACUAGGGAUCGGACGAUGUUAAAUUUUAUUGACUCGUUCGGCGCCUUACG